UAACGUGAGCGUCCUAAGGUAGCGCGAUAAUUUGCUUUUCAAUUGAAGGAUGGUAUGAAAGGGCUAACGAAGAAGGUGCUGUGUCUAAAAAUUCAAUUUAAACUAACUUUAAGGUGAAGAGGCCUUUAUGUAAAAGAAGGACGACAAGACCCUAUGAAGCUUUAUCUUAAUUGGAGCUUUCAGGCUCUUAUACGAUUUUGAUGGGAGAUCAGUAGAAAUAAGUCCUCUACUAUUAUAUUAAUCUUACUAGUAUUUCCUAACUUUAUAUGUGUGACUAGCUACUCUAGGGAUAACAGCGCAAUUUCUCCCGAAAGAUGGUAUUGGAGGGGAAGAUUGCGACCUCGAUGUUGGCUUUAGAUACCCUAGAGGCGUAGAAGCUUCU
rnacentral:rRNA from 1 species